GUAUUCCCACCCCCUUUGAGGGGUUAAGGCUCCCAGUAGACGACUGGGUUGAUAGGCCAGAUGUGGAAGCCCGGUAACGGGUGGAGCUGACUGGUACUAAUAGGCCGAGGGCUUGUCUAA
rnacentral:rRNA from 1 species